rnacentral:rRNA from 1 species
CCUACGGGAGGCAGCAGUGGGGAAUAUUGGACAAUGGGGGGAACCCUGAUCCAGCCAUGCCGCGUGUGUGAAGAAGGCCCUCGGGUUGUAAAGCACUUUCAGUGAGGAAGAACGCCUGGUGGUUAAUACCCAUCAGGAAAGACAUCACUCACAGAAGAAGCACCGGCUAACUCCGUGUCAGCAGCCGCGGUAAUACGGAGGGUGCGAGCGUUAAUCGGAAUUACUGGGCGUAAAGCGCGCGUAGGUGGCUUGAUAAGCCGGUUGUGAAAGCCCCGGGCUCAACCUGGGAACGGCAUCCGGAACUGUCAAGCUAGAGUGCAGGAGAGGAAGGUAGAAUUCCCGGUGUAGCGGUGAAAUGCGUAGAGAUCGGGAGGAAUACCAGUGGCGAAGGCGGCCUUCUGGACUGACACUGACACUGAGGUGCGAAAGCGUGGGUAGCAAACAGGAUUAGAUACCCUAGUAGUC